GUGAAAUUAUAAUUUUUAAAAUUCUAGACAUGUCAACGACCUAGGUGUCCCGAGGAACCAAUCAGAUCUAGCCACGCGAGUAAGCUAUGUUAGAACAUGUCAGUUAUCAAAGAGCAGCCCAAAUUGUGCCAUGUAAUGCUGACGUGGCAAAUCGCACGACAUAGGUUAAAAACUUUAAAAUUAAUGGCUAUGAUUUCUUCUCAUCAUUCAAUGUUCACAAUUAACUCGUGGCCAUUAUAAAAAGGGAGUCAGGUUUUCAAAAAAAAAGGAGAAAACCUAGCUGUAAAGUGAGGGUGACAGAGGAAGAGAAAGGAGAAGUGAAAUUCAAGAGGCCAAGGUAGAGGGUGUACUGUAAGAAGCCCUGUCGGCGCUCAAACACUAACACGAGAGAGUUAAGUGCCUUCUUCUCCUUGUUCGUAAAUCUAAAAUUCAAAAUAAAUCACUCUUUCGAUUCAAUAUUUGCAACGAAGAUGUU
rnacentral:lncRNA from 1 species